ACUGAACACUCACCUACAAAUAAAAUAAAAAUAAAAAUCAAACUUAAAAAAUAAAAUUUUAAAGUAAAGCAAGGAUUGCAAUUUCAAUAUUGUUUUAGACACAAUCCCCAACAACAGCAUCAAAAACUUGAUGCAUGCAAAUCUAUCGCAAUUGCAAGUAUAUCAGUCAAUCAAAUAAUAUAGCGUAUAAGUAGAGUAUAGUCCCAUAA
rnacentral:lncRNA from 1 species